GACGAACCGUGCGAACGUUGUUCGGAAUUACUGGGCGUAAAGGGCUCGUAGGCGGCCAACUAAGUCAGACGUGAAAUCCCUCGGCUUAACCGGGGAACUGCGUCUGAUACUGGAUGGCUUGAGUUUGGGAGAGGGAUGCGGAAUUCCAGGUGUAGCGGUGAAAUGCGUAGAUAUCUGGAGGAACACCGGUGGCGAAGGCGGCAUCCUGGACCAACACUGACGCUGAGUGAGCGAAAGCCAGGGGAGCAAACGGG
rnacentral:rRNA from 1 species